rnacentral:rRNA from 1 species
UACGGGGGGGGCAAGCGUUGUUCGGAAUUACUGGGCGUAAAGGGCUCGUAGGCGCCAACUAAGUCAGACGUGAAAUCCCUCGGCUUAACCGGGGAACUGCGUCUGAUACUGGCGGACUUGAGGACAGGAGAGGAACGCGGAAUUCCAGGUGUAGCGGUGAAAUGCGUAGAUAUCGAGAGGAACACCUGCGGCGAAGGCGGGUUGCUGGGCUGACACUGACGCUGAUGCGCGAAAGCCAGGGGAGCGAACGGG